rnacentral:rRNA from 1 species
UAACAUAUAUCUACAAGCGUUGCACGGCUGUCUUCAGUUAAUGUCGCGAGAUUGGUUAGUUCCAUUAAAUUAACGUAAACCCUUGCUUUAUUUUUUAUAUAGAGUAGUUCCCCGCUAUA